GACCUAUUUAUGAAAAGUAUUAAUGAAAAGUAUUAAAAUUAAAGCAGUUCACCAUUUAGCGUUAUCCCUGAUACCACUUCAUUGCGAAUUCCUUCUAAUUAGUACCCAUAAGUAAAACUGAAAAACAGACCUCAUAACGCCUUAUGGCAACUUAAUAAAUUUAAAGGAAAAUUCUAUGUCUAGUUCAAUGACUGGUUCAGUAAAAUGGUUUAACAACGAUAAAGGUUUUGGCUUUAUUUCCCCAAAAGAUGGUAGCAAAGAUGUUUUCGUUCAUUAUUCUGCAAUUCAGAGUAAUAAUUUCAAAACAUUGGAAGAAGGUCAGGAAGUCUCAUUCUCUAUUGAGAAUGGCGCUAAAGGCCCAUCUGCGGUAAAUGUUAUCGUAUUAUCUUAAUUUAACUGAUUAAGUCUAUUAGCAACUUUACGAUAGCGAUGAAGGUAAUA
rnacentral:sRNA from 1 species